AUUGAACGCUGGCGGCAGGCCUAACACAUGCAAGUCGAGCGGAUGAAGGGAGCUUGCUCCUGGAUUCAGCGGCGGACGGGUGAGUAAUGCCUAGGAAUCUGCCUGGUAGUGGGGGAUAACGUCCGGAAACGGGCGCUAAUACCGCAUACGUCCUGAGGGAGAAAGUGGGGGAUCUUCGGACCUCACGCUAUCAGAUGAGCCUAGGUCGGAUUAGCUAGUUGGUGGGGUAAAGGCCUACCAAGGCGACGAUCCGUAACUGGUCUGAGAGGAUGAUCAGUCACACUGGAACUGAGACACGGUCCAGACUCCUACGGGAGGCAGCAGUGGGGAAUAUUGGACAAUGGGCGAAAGCCUGAUCCAGCCAUGCCGCGUGUGUGAAGAAGGUUCUCGGAUUGUAAAGCACUUUAAGUUGGGAGGAAGGGCAGUAAGUUAAUACCUUGCUGUUUUGACGUUACCAACAGAAUAAGCACCGGCUAACUUCGUG
rnacentral:rRNA from 1 species